UACGUAGGCGGAAAAUUAAGUCAGUAGUGAAAUCCUGCAGCUUAACUGUAGAACUGUUAUUGAUACUGGUUUUCUUGAAUAUAGUUGAGGUAGGCGGAAUGUGUAAUGUAGCGGUGAAAUGCUUAGAUAUUACACAGAACACCGAUUGCGAAGGCAGCUUACUAAGCUAUGAUUGACGCUGAGGUACGAAAGCGUGGGGAGCGAACAGGAUUAGAUACCAUGGUAGUCC
rnacentral:rRNA from 1 species